rnacentral:rRNA from 1 species
UAUAUCGCGUAUAUCCUGAGAAAAGAGCUCCCGGAGGAUGAGGAAGAGGCUCGACAGAUCGUCCGUCGAUCUAAAGCUUUUACUGUAAUCAAAGGACAGUUAUACAGAGAAAGCGCGACUGGAGUUGGUCAGAAGUGCAUAACACCAGAAGAAGGUCGAAUCAUCCUUAAUGAUAUCCACUCGGGAACCUGUGGUCAUCAUGCGUCCUCUCGGACCAUCGUGGCCAAAGCAUACCGAGCCGGAUUUUACUGGCCAAAGGCGAAUGAGAUGGCAAAGGAAAUAGUGGAUAAGUGCGAAGGAUGUCAGUUCUACUCGAAUAUGUCACACAAGCCUGCAUCAGCUCUGAAGACCAUUCCACUCGUCUGGCCUUUCGCAGUAUGGGGGUUGGACAUGGUCGAUCCUUUGAGAACAGGUCGAAGUGGCUUCACGCAUGUACUGGUGGCAGUCGACAAGUUCACCAAGUGGAUUGAGGCUAAACCAAUCAAGAACCUUGACACCGGUGCUGCUGUUAGCUUCAUCAGGGAACUGAUAUUCAGAUAUGGAGUCCCGCACAGCAUCAUUACGGAUAAUGGGUCGAACUUUGACUCGGAGGAAUUCAGAGAUUUCUGUAACUCUCAAGGCACACGAGUCGACUACGCUUCAGUCGCCCAUCCGCAGUCGAAUGGACAAGCAGAGCGAGCCAAUGGCCUGAUUCUCAAGGGAUUGAAACCCCGACUGAUGCGUGAUCUCAAGCAUGCAGCUGGAGCUUGGGUCGACGAACUUCCCUUGGUGCUUUGGGGACUGCGGACCACACCUAAUCGGUCGACCGGAAGAACUCCAUUCUUCUUGGUCUACGGAGCUGAAGCAGUC